ensembl:snoRNA Gm22546 small nucleolar RNA SNORA17
AUUGCCCCCAGAGGCGUUGCAGGCAUGGCUGCCGUGUCACAUGUGUGUCACUAAGUGGCAGAGAGGAGAGGGGCUAUGUCUACACUGUGUUCUGACCUAUGAACAUCAGAAUGAUUAGUAGCUUAACAUU